rnacentral:rRNA from 1 species
CACGUAGGGGGCGAGCGUUGUCCGGAUUCAUUGGGCGUAAAGCGCGCGUAGGCGGCCUCAUAAGUCCGUUGUGAAAGUCAAAGGCUCAACCUUUGAAAGCCGAUGGAUACUGUGAGGCUAGAGUCCGGAAGAGGCGAGUGGAAUUCCUGGUGUAGCGGUGGAAUGCGCAGAUAUCAGGAGGAACACCAAUAGCGAAGGCAGCUCGCUGGGACGGUACUGACGCUAAGGCGCGAAAGCGUGGGGAGCGAACAGG